AGUUUGUUAUUGGUAUGAGCUUUCGUGUGCAUGCGUAUCUGAAGAAGUGUGCAUGCACACAAAAGCUCAUACCAAUAACAAACU